CCUUCCCCAUGGGUAGGAUAGUGGCCCUCCCAUGGUUUCAACGGGUAACGGGGAAUAAGGGUUCGAUUCCGGAGAGGGAGCCUGAGAAACGGCUNCCACAUCCAAGGAAGGCAGCAGGCGCGCAAAUUACCCAAUCCUAAUUCAGGGAGGUAGUGNCAAUAAAUAACGAUACAGGGCCCAUUUGGGUCUUGUAAUUGGAAUGAGUACAAUGUAAAUACCUUAACGAGGAACAAUUGGAGGGCAAGUCUGGUGCCAGCANCCGCGGUAAUUCCAGCUCCAAUAGCGUAUAUUAAAGUUGUUGCAGUUAAAAAGCUCGUAGUUGAACUUUGGGCUUGGUCAGCCGGUCCGCUUUUUUGCGUGUACUGGUCCUGACCGAGCCUUUCCUUCUGGCUAACCUGUCUCUCGGGGCAGGCGAACCAGGACUUUUACUUUGAAAAAAUUAGAGUGUUCAAAGCAGGCCUUUGCUCGAAUAUAUUAGCAUGGAAUAAUAGAAUAGGACGUUUGGUUCUAUUUUGUUGGUUUCUAGGACCAUCGUAAUGAUUAAUAGGGACGGUCGGGGGCAUCAGUAUUCAAUUGUCAGAGGUGAAAUUCUUGGAUUUAUUGAAGACUAACUACUGCGAAAGCAUUUGCCCAANGACGUUUUGGUUCCUUCCCCCAAAGGGNUUUUCAG
rnacentral:rRNA from 1 species